GACGAACGCUGGCGGCGUGCUUAACACAUGCAAGUCGAACGGAAAGGCCCUGCUUUUGUGGGGUGCUCGAGUAGCGAACGGGUGAGUAACACGUGAGUAACCUGCCCUUGACUUUGGGAUAACUUCAGGAAACUGGGGCUAAUACCGGAUAGGAGCUCCUGCUGCAUGGUGGGGGUUGGAAAGUUUCGGCGGUUGGGGAUGGACUCGCGGCUUAUCAGCUUGUUGGUGGGGUAGUGGCUUACCAAGGCUUUGACGGGUAGCCGGCCUGAGAGGGUGACCGGCCACAUUGGGACUGAGAUGCGGCCCAGACUCUUACGGGAGGCAGCAGUGGGGAAUAUUGCACAAUGGGCGGAAGCCUGAUGCAGCAACGCCGCGUGCGGGAUGACGGCCUUCGGGUUGUAAACCGCUUUCGCCUGUGACGAAGCGUGAGUGACGGUAAUGGGUAAAGAAGCACCGGCUAACUACGUG
rnacentral:rRNA from 1 species